rnacentral:rRNA from 1 species
AGUCGAGCGCAGGAGUCGACGGAACCCUCCGGGGGGAAGUCGACGGAAUGAGCGGCGGACGGGUGAGUAACACGUAAAGAACCUGCCCUCAGGUCUGGGAUAACCACGAGAAAUCGGGGCUAAUACCGGAUGGGUCAUCGGACCGCAUGGUCCGAGGAUGAAAGGCGCUUCGGCGUCGCCUGGGGAUGGCUUUGCGGUGCAUUAGCUAGUUGGUGGGGUAAUGGCCCACCAAGGCGACGAUGCAUAGCCGACCUGAGAGGGUGAUCGGCCACACUGGGACUGAGACACGGCCCAUACUCCUACGGGAGGCAGCAGUAGGGAAUCUUCCACAAUGGACGAAAGUCUGAUGGAGCAACGCCGCGUGAACGAUGAAGGCCUUCGGGUCGUAAAGUUCUGUUGUAAGGGAAGAACAAGUGCCGCAGGCAAUGGCGGCACCUUGACGGUACCUUGCGAGAAAGCCACGGCUAACUACGUGCCAGCAGCCGCGGUAAUACGUAGGUGGCAAGCGUUGUCCGGAAUUAUUGGGCGUAAAGCGCGCGCAGGCGGCCUCUUAAGUCUGAUGUGAAAGCCCCCGGCUCAACCGGGGAGGGCCAUUGGAAACUGGGAGGCUUGAGUAUAGGAGAGAAGAGUGGAAUUCCACGUGUAGCGGUGAAAUGCGUAGAGAUGUGGAGGAACACCAGUGGCGAA